rnacentral:misc_RNA from 1 species
UGGAGUUUUUAUGGCUAAAAUAUAUCAAAUUUAACUUUAAAUUAAUUUUUAAUGCUCUUUAACUAAUAUUUUUAAGGAGGUACUUUUCUCGAUAAUAACUUUAACAACUAUGCCAAACAGACCCUCAAUCCCAUUUUACAUAACAGAUGUUAUGGAUGGGGGAUAUGGUGGCCUCUAAUUCCUAACCUAGAGCUCUAGAUGAACUUACACCCCGAGCCACAUUCCAUCAAGAGCUCAACAAAACACAUCCAUCCUAAGCCAACAAAGUUGAUUUGUACAUAGAACUUUUCAAUGGGGAUAAUCCGCAUUGACUUUUCAUUUACAAACCCCACUUAUUUUCUAUCCCACACUCUGAACUUUUCAUUAGACUCCAUAUAAUAUGUAGCAACAAUAAUCAUUCUCAAAUCGGUCAUGUAAAUAUUAUUUGAUAGUAUCUCACUUCUCCAAUUGACAUAUGAACUCCACCAUACUUUCUACAAGAAAUAUUUUCUCUUUUUUUAUGUCUUUACAACUGUUUGCCACGAAAGGGGACAAAGAGUAGAAAUAAGGAAAAAAAAUAGGAAGGUUGGAAAAAAUAUUUUCCAAUCAAGUAGAUCACCCAGCUCCAAAACACUCUUGUCCUUCAAAUCGGCUACCAAAGGGAGCUAAAUAAGUCAAAGGAAAAGACUUCACAUUAUAUCUCAUAACACUAGCAAAAAGGUCCCAUGAACUCCUUUACGCAAAGAUAUGAGGUAUACAAUCUCUUGUCCCCAAACACAUUGAAUUAAGCAAUUACUUCAAUGCAAAGUAAAAUACAUCUCAAAUGGAUAAUUAGUUGGACAUCUUCUU